GAAAUGCGAUAAGUAAUGUGAAUUGCAGAAUUCCGUGAAUCAUCGAAUCUUCGAACGCACAUUGCGCCCUCUGGUAUUCCGGGGGGCAUGCCUGUCCGAGCGUCAUUGCGAACCCCUCAAGCACGGCUUGUGUGAUGGGCCCUCCCGCGUCUUGGUCGUCAAGACGGGCCCGAAAAGCAGUGGCGGCUUCGCGGUUAUCCGAUCAGCCAGAGCGUAUGGGGACUUUCUCUCUGUCACACGCCCGCGGCGCGGACCGACGCCUGUCGACCUUUAUUCAUCUUUUUCUCGGUUGACCUCGGAUCAGGUAGGGAUACUCGCUGAACUUAAGC
rnacentral:misc_RNA from 1 species